rnacentral:rRNA from 1 species
GACGAACGCUGGCGGCGUGCUUAACACAUGCAAGUCGAACGGAAAGGCCCCUUUGGGGGUACUCGAGUGGCGCACGGGUGCGUAACACGUGAGUAACCUGCCCUUGACUUCGGGAUAACUUCAGGAAACUGGGGCUAAUACCGGAUAGGAAUCCUUGCUGCAUGGUGGGGGUUGGAAAGCUUCGGCGGUUUUGGGUGGACUCGCGGCGUAUCGGCUUGUUGGAGGGGUAGUGGCUUACCAAGGCGGUGACGGGUAGCCGGCCUGAGAGGGCGACCGGCCACAUUGGGACUGAGGCGCGGCCCCGACUCCUACGGGAGGCAGCAGGGGGGAAUAUUGCACAAGGGGCGGCAGCCUGAUGCAGCAACGCCGCGUGCGGGAUGACGGCCUUCGGGUUGUAAACCGCUUUCAGCAGGGGCGAAGCUUGUGGUGACGGUACCUGCAGAAGAAGCACCGGCUAACUACGUG